UUGCAAUGCGAUGGGUUUUUUCUGAAGUUUUGCAGAUGAAAACUAACUCCUACUUAUGUGCUAUAUUUACUACUCAGUCGUGGCAAUUCUCCGAUAUAUGUGGAUGAUACCUUUAAGGUUGUUACAUGCAGAUAACAAAAAGAAAUUACUGAUUUAGAAGAUGAUUGACAAUCUUCAAUGAGAAUAGAGGACAACCUGGCACAUGAGCCUUCACGUGUUGGCAUGCCUGCACUGCCAAUGCAUCUUCAACAUGAGUUGAGGGAGGGCGCUGAUGCCUUGGGGGGCUAGAUGAUCGAGAUCUAAGCACCUAAUGGCCAGGUGGGGUUUAUUAG